rnacentral:ncRNA from 1 species
CAUUUUAUCUCACAAUGGGCUGCACAAAAAGAAAUUUCUGUGUGAAUCCUGUCAAAUUCGGGGAAGUCUUUAACAUGAUAAUCCCGAGCCAAUCCCUCCUUUGCUAAAGCUUCGGAAGGAAGGUGUAGAGACUUAAUGGCAGGCACCCUCACUAUUAGAAAUAAUAGAAGGGUGAAGAGAAAGUCCAGACCACAAAUUCUUUCGUAG